GAUGAACGCUGGCGGCGUGCCUAAUACAUGCAAGUCGAGCGAACAGACGAGGAGCUUGCUCCUCUGACGUUAGCGGCGGACGGGUGAGUAACACGUGGAUAACCUACCUAUAAGACUGGGAUAACUUCGGGAAACCGGAGCUAAUACCGGAUAAUAUAUUGAACCGCAUGGUUCAAUAGUGAAAGACGGUUUUGCUGUCACUUAUAGAUGGAUCCGCGCCGCAUUAGGUAGUUGGUAAGGUAACGGCUUACCCAGGCAACGAUGCGUAGCCGACCUGAGCGGGUGAUCGGCCACACUGGAACUGAGACACGGUCCAGACUCCUACGGGAGGCAGCAGUAGGGAAUCUUCCGCAAUGGGCGAAAGCGUGACGGAGCAACGCCGCGUGAGUGAUGAAGGUCUUCGGAUCGUAAAACUCUGUUAUUAGGGAAGAACAAAUGUGUAAGUAACUAUGCACGUCUUGACGGUACCAAAUCAGAAAGCCACGGCUAACUACGUG
rnacentral:rRNA from 1 species